GGCAAAGAUGCGUACUGAAGAUGCCCGAAGAACGAAAAUUGGUCUUUUCACAGUUAUGGACUCUGGUGAACUGCGGUACACAUACACCCGUGAAUAUUGUGUAGCAGCUAUCUCACGAUAAAUCGAUUUCUAUGAUAGUUGGCGCGUUCACCGAUGCUAACUCCGAGUACUCAAUUUAUUUCAAACUUGGCGCAGUAGUUUGUAGUUCAGAGAGUAAAGUUCGGUGGAACGUAGCAUAGUUUGAAGCAACUUCACCUAAAGACGUUAUCGAACGAAAUAAACUUUACCCCAUAAGAUGUGUAGUAUGAAUAAUAAAGAGAGAAGUUAACGACGAAAGAAGAGGUGUUGCGGUUUUUGUUACUGAACAUCAGUUGUAAUUAAAUUGUAAACUAUAUUUGGAUUUUAUUUGGUUGAAUGAUCACACUCCCGAUGAGAGAAGAAAUGUAUCUCGUCCGUUACAUUAUAAAUAGCUAUUUUCCUAAGCAUGCUAUCAUCUAAUAUGGAGGACGGUAUUCUAUUUACUGUAAAUUUGCACCGGACCAUGGGAUAAAUCAUCUAGUUACGCUCCCCAAGGAUGUCUUUGAAAAGAGCAUAUCGCAUUAUACAAGAGCGACGUGCAAUUUUGUCUGAUUCCGAUUCUGCGAGUGAAAGGCGUAAGUGUGACAAGAAGAAGAAGGCAAGCUUAAGAUAAAAAUAAUGUAUAUAAAAAAUGUUUCCAAUGUAUACAAUAAAAUGUAAUGUGCUUUUCUAUGCUUGAUUAGAAAAAAGGAUUUUCAUUAACAGUUAAAAUAUAAUGUUUGUAAUAAAAUUGUAUCUGUUGAAAGGAAUGAUAUCAUGUUUGAUACGAUUUGAAUACUUUACAAGCUUAGAAAGUAAUUUUCAGAACAACUAAUGUAUAUGAAUUGUAUAUAAGUGUGAGGUCCAAAUACGUGAGAGUUA